rnacentral:rRNA from 1 species
UGGGGAAUAUUGGGCAAUGGGGGAAACCCUGACCCAGCAACGCCGCGUGAAGGAAGAAGGUCUUCGGAUCGUAAACUUCUAUCCUUGGUGAAGAUAAUGACGGUAGCCGAGAAGGAAGCCCCGGCUAACUACGUGCCAGCAGCCGCGGUAAUACGUAGGGGGCAAGCGUUGUCCGGAAUGAUUGGGCGUAAAGGGCGCGUAGGCGGCCUGGUAAGUCUGGAGUGAAAGUCCUGCUUUUAAGGUGGGAAUUGCUUUGGAUACUGCUGGGCUUGAGUGCAGGAGAGGUAAGUGGAAUUCCCGGUGUAGCGGUGAAAUGCGUAGAGAUCGGGAGGAACACCGAGUGGCGAAGGCGACUUACUGGACUGUAACUGACGCUGAGGCGCGAAAGUGUGGGGAGCAA